GGCCUUGUGGCCAAAUGGUAAGGCACCAGACUCCUAAUCUGGAGAUUGUGGGUUCGAGCCCCAUCAAGGUCG
rnacentral:tRNA from 1 species